rnacentral:rRNA from 2 species
CUAGCUUACGUGGAGGCGCUGGUGGGAUACUACCCUAGCUGUGUUGGCUUUCUAACCCGCACCACUUAUCGUGGUGGGAGACAGUGUCAGGCGGGCAGUUUGACUGGGGCGGUCGCCUCCUAAAAGGUAACGGAGGCGCUCAAAGGUUCCCUCAGAAUGGUUGGAAAUCAUUCGUAGAGUGUAAAGGCAUAAGGGUGCUUGACUGCGAGACCUACAAGUCGAGCAGGGUCGAAAGACGGACUUAGUGAUCCGGUGGUUCCGCAUGGAAGGGCCAUCGCUCAACGGAUAAAAGCUACCCCGGGGAUAACAGGCUUAUCUCCCCC